AACGAACGCUGGCGGCAGGCCUAACACAUGCAAGUCGAGCGAAGCCUUCGGGCUUAGCGGCGGACGGGUGAGUAACGCGUGGGAACGUGCCCUUUGCUACGGAAUAGCCCCGGGAAACUGGGAGUAAUACCGUAUGUGCCCUUCGGGGGAAAGAUUUAUCGGCAAAGGAUCGGCCCGCGUUGGAUUAGGUAGUUGGUGGGGUAGUGGCCUACCAAGCCGACGAUCCAUAGCUGGUUUGAGAGGAUGAUCAGCCACACUGGGACUGAGGCACGGCCCAGACCCCUACGGGAGGCAGCAGUGGGGAAUCUUAGACAAUGGGCGCAAGCCUGAUCUAGCCAUGCCGCGUGAUCGAUGAAGGCCUUAGGGUUGUAAAGAUCUUUCAGGUGGGAAGAUAAUGACUGUACCACCAGAAGAAGCCCCGGCUAACUCCGUGCCAGCCGCCGCAGUAACAC
rnacentral:rRNA from 1 species